ACAUGCCUACAACAUAGAGUUAAUGCACUGGAUCCCAUUAGAACUCUGCAGUUAAACAUGCUCAGACUAGAGUAGUACUGGGAUGGGUGACCACCUAGAAAGUCCUAGUGUUUUACAUGCC
rnacentral:rRNA from 1 species